rnacentral:lncRNA from 1 species
AACAUUAUACAACAAAAAGGUCAUAUAUCAAAGAACUUUCUACAGCAAUUUAGUAACAGAACUUUUACAUGUUUAUUAAAAAAUUAAAACUCAAUAGCCAGUGGAAGCAUUUGUAGUAGUAUGUGUAGAGGAUGAAGAUGUAGGUGAAUUUGAAUGAACAGCACCUUCACUGUUAUUACCCCUUUCUUCUGAGAUUGAAUGCUCAAACUUCUUAAACUCUGGUUUUUUAAUUGUAGCAACUUGAGGAUGUGUGGCUACUGGUGCAUAGAUUCCAGAAGGUGCCACAACUUUUGUCAUUUCCCCUGUUGUUGUUGAUGAAGCUACCCCACCAUACUCUUGUUGUUGGACAAAAAUGUUUCCUACAAGGACAAAAGGUGCUGCUGUUUGUGAAUUGGCACUUUCGUUAUUUGUUGAACUUGGUCUUCUAGUAUGCAACCGGUAUUUCUGUGCAAAACAAAUAAAAAAAUUUAGAUUUUAAUUGAGGAUAAGGAAGUGUUAAUGUACAAAAAUUAUCACUCAUUUGUUUUGAAAUCCUGUAAAAUUGAAAGGGACUAAAACAAGAUGAAACAGUUAAAACUAAAUGAUUCAAUAUCAAACAAAAAACUGAGACUAACUAGAUAAUAGAAAUCACAAAAUCAAAACAAAUACUCAAAUUAAAAUUGACAACAAAAGAGUUGGGAACCUGUAAAUGGCUUUUGACUUCAUCAUUUGUGAGGCCAUCAACAUUCAUUACCUCUCUGAUUUGCUUUGGUGUGGCACCUAUAGAACAGAAGCAAAAAAACAC